rnacentral:rRNA from 1 species
UACGUAGGGUGCGAGCGUUGUCCGGAAUUAUUGGGCGUAAAGAGCUUGUAGGCGGUUUGUCGCGUCUGCUGUGAAAAUCCGGGGCUCAACCCCGGACUUGCAGUGGGUACGGGCAGACUGGAGUGUGGUAGGGGAGACUGGAAUUCCUGGUGUAGCGGUGGAAUGCGCAGAUAUCAGGAGGAACACCGAUGGCGAAGGCAGGUCUCUGGGCCACUACUGACGCUGAGAAGCGAAAGCAUGGGGAGCGAACGGG